UAAUGAUAAACUGAGCCUUGGGUACAGACACAUUUAUUUGUAGACAUCAGUACAAAACACAAGGAUACAUGACAGGGGUGAAGGGUGGGGGGCGGCGCACCCUUGGUCAGCCGGGCAUGGUCACCAAUCCGUAGACACCACGCCAAUUUGGACUCACACCAGGCAGAAAAAAUCACUGUUUACAUUCCUGCCAAUGUGCAGUUUGUGUAGACAAACAACUCCCGUUUCUGGACACACUGAUAACAAGAUCGGGAAGCACCGUAAAAUUCAAAGUGUACAGGAAACCCACUAAUAAAAACAACUUCAUACACUACCUCGGCGCUCAUAGCAAGAAAACAAAAACGGGUGUAAUCAUAGGCUUUUUCCUGAGAGCGCUACGAAUCUUCAGCCCCGAAUUCCUUUCAGAGGAAUUAGAAUAUAUAAGAAAAACUUUUACUAAGCUAGGCUACCCCAAAGGUCUUCUUUACAUCGCAGAAGAAAAAGCUCGCAAGAUCAUCCACCGUAAACAACAAAAUGACAACACAAGAUACCUGGUGGUGCCGCACUCGGACCCGACAGACAACCUCAGGAGAACUCUAUUCGGUACAAACAUACAAGUUGUGACAACCCAAUUUUUCCGAGCAUUUUCCACCAUGACACAAGCAUCAAGAGAAGGGAUGGCGUGUACGGACUGGUAAACAUGUUACUCGAUGAAGGGAGAGUUUGACAUCAGGAGUGUGUGUUUAUUAGGGAAGCUGCCACCUGUUUAUACCUCUUUACAUUUUUCAUCGGGUUUAGUUUCUUUAGUUUUUUCGGUUAUAUUAAGUUACAUUGAGAGUUUGACGUCGGUAGAGAGGCAAAUGGUUUUCCUUUUAUCUAUUUUAUACCAAGUUUUAUCAUUGUAUCAAGUUAUUUACAGUCUUAUUUCUUUAUCUGGGUAAGUUGAAAGUCCAUCUCUUGAGUGAUUCUUUGGUUACAUUGUUACAUCUGAGUCAUUUAAAUGGUUGUUAAUAUAUGCUGCACUAAGUUUUUUUUUUCAUUGUAUCAAAUUAUUAGUUUUAUCAUUGUAUCAAGUUAUUUACAGUCUUAUUGGGUCUUAUUUCUUUAUCUGGGGUCAGCUGAAAGUCCAUCUUAUGAAUGAUUUUGGUUACAUUGUUACAUCUGAGAGUCAUUUAAAUGGUUGUUAAUAUAUGUUGCACUAAGUUUUUUCAUUGUAUCAAAUUAUUAACAUUCUGUCUGAUAUUAAGAUGAAUACAAAUGGUUUUCUCAAAUAUCUAGUGUACCAAGACUUUUCACAGUAUGUAUAUUUAACAACUCAUUUCUUUGCUAUAUUUUGACCUGGACCAAAUAAGAAUCCAUCAUUUGUUUGGUCGAUAAAUUACUGAUUUAACCCGGUAGCUGCGGGGAUCAUGUUUCUUAAAGGCCCUUCCCUCUAAGCGAGAAAAAUGAGAAAAAAAUCAUCACUCACGCAAACCACUUCAUAAUAUAUAUCAACGCAUUUGUGAUCAGUUUAUGCAUCAUCUAUUUUGGGGGUUUAUAUCAUAGCAAAAAUUUGGCCCAUCGCUGGUACACGGUAAAGCCACAGAUUUGGCCCGUCGCUGCUACCGGGUUAAGAGAGGUAUCUAUUGUUAACCUCAGUAUAUGUAUUUAUUAUUAGGGGAAUAAUUAAUGGGUGUAAGUUUUUAUUUCCAUAUCACACGUCUUUUCCCUUCUCCCUUUUUGUGUGUGAUAUGAAGGGCCACCAACCAAACAUACACACACUCAGGAAUGAACCACGGACACACACGGCAUACAAAAAACAGGUUAUAUAGACACGAGGCGUAUGGUGUAGACGUGGCGACCAGACCAAUUAAGGCGAUGUUGUUUUUGGUGCCAUCUUGGAGCCUCCACUGAAUUCUUGCUGCGUUAUGCGGUGAAGCAAGUUAACCCGGUAGCAGCAGGGAUCAUGUUUCUUAAUGGUCCCCCCAAGCGAGAAUAAUGAGAAAAAAUCGCCCCUCAUACAAACCAUUUCAUAAUAUGUAUCAAAGCAUUUGUGAUCAGAUUAUGCAUCAUCUAUUUUGGGGGGCUUAUAUCAUGGCACAAAUUUGGCCCAUCGCUGCUACCGGGUUAAGGGGGGAUUGCCUUAAAAUGAAAACAUAUACAUUAACUUAUUCUUGAGGUAAAUAAAUAAGGGUUAGGAUUUUGUUUUAAGUCAGGGAAUGUUAAUAGAGAGAAGAACAAUGGUUUAAUGGAUGAGUUACUGAAAGAAAAUGGGGUUAGGGUUGCCGGGGUUGAGAUUAAAGGGGUGCUACUCUAAAAUUAAGGAAAAUGGGGUUAGGGUUGCCGGGGUGAAGAUUUAAGGGGGGGCUACUCUAAAAUUAAGGAAAAUGGGGUUAGGGUUGCCGGGGUUGAGAUUAAAGGGGGGGCUACUCUAAAAUUAAGGAAAAUGGGGUCACGGUUGCCGGGGUGAAGAUUUAAGGGGGGCUACUCUAAAAUUAAGGAAAAUGGGGUCAGGGUUCAGCGACUUUGGUCAGGAGGAGAACCGGGGGGCAGCAUGGCCCAAGCAAGUGUCAUAUAUCAUGGCAGCCACUAUAAAAAAAAUUCGCCUGUGCCACUAACAAGCUGGGCCAUCCAAAGGGCCCCUCGAGAGAGCCUACUGGCACUAGACGCAGCACCUAAAGUAUAAAAAAAAAGCAUAUGAGGGGACAGGUGUAAAUGGCAGGUCACCCCAUCUACACUCUACGCCUGACAUGUGUUACACUCCACAUAAAAAGCUACCACAUUUAACCGCAGCACACUCGCCAUGGCUUCAUCUAAGGAGUUGCAUAUUUGGAAGAGUAUGUACAGUUAUAGUGAGUUGGUUAGCCGGGGAAGGACAGACUCGCCCCGGCACAGAAUUCAAUAAGAAAACGACUCAUUACGUUAUAUCAUUUACAGCGGUCAUAGGUGUUUAUUUCCUUGUAUUAAUACCUUGCUUUCUCUUGUUAUGAAUCUCCAUCUCUCCAUUUUCCUCCUUCUCAUCCUCUUUCUUCCUCUUCUCUUAUUCAAUCUCCAUUCUCGAUUCUCCAGUUUUCCAUCUCCUUUUCCUUCUCUUUCUUUUUCUUCUCAGUGUUUUCUUUCCUCCUUCUUCUCCUCUCCUUCUCUCCUUGUCUCCUCCUCCUCCAUUUCCUUUUCUUCUUCUCCCUUCACUAUCUCCUCUUCCUCACCAUUUACAGCACUCACAAACCUUCAUUAAGUCCUUCUCCCUCACUUGGUUAAUAUUAUUUUUAUAGUGGGUGUGAAAAUGACCUCCAGACAUAACAUAUAUACCAUUUACAACAGAGACAUUCAUUCGUUUAUAAUAUCUUUCUUUCCUCCUCAUUCUCUUAUAAUAUCACUCACAACGGUAAUAUUUUUUGAAGGGUAACUGUACAAGACUCAUCACAAGCAGGAGGAGGGCAGGUCAGCAGUGUCACAAGUCAGGCGUUAAUAUGUACAAAAAUUAAGAGGGAAGUUAAGUUAACCCGUCCGCUGUGAUUGGCAUGGAUUUGGCCUUCACUGGUAGCCUGGUAACACACUCCCAGGUCUUUCUCUGCCUCUGUGGUGGAUAGUGGAGUGUUUCCCAUGUGGUAUUGGUGUGCUGGAUAUCCCUUCACUGGUAGCCUGGUAACAUAUACUCCCAGGUCUUUCUCUGCCUCUGUGGUGGAUAGUGGAGUGUUUCCCAUGUGGUAUUGGUGUGCUGGAUAUCCCUUCACUGGUAGCCUGGUAACAUACACUCCCAGGUCUUUCUCUGCCUCUGUGGUGGAUAGUGGAGUGUUUCCCAUGUGGUAUUGGUGUGCUGGAUAUCCCUUCACUGGUCGCCUGGUAACAUACACUCCCAGGUCUUUCUCUGCCUCUGUGGUGGAUAGUGGAGUGUUUCCCAUGUGGUAUUGGUGUGCUGGAUAUCCCUUCACUGGUAGCCUGGUAACAUACACUCCCAGGUCUUUCUCUGCCUCUGUGGUGGAUAGUGGAGUGUUUCCCAUGUGGUAUUGGUGUGCUGGAUAUCCCUUCACUGGUAGCCUGGUAACAUACACUCCCAGGUCUUUCUCUGCCUCUGUGGUGGAUAGUGGAGUGUUUCCCAUGUGGUGUUGGUGCAGGACUUUACAUUUUUCUUCAUUGAAUUGUAGCAGCCACUUUUUGUUCCUUUCCUGUAGCUUGGUGAUGUCUUCUGGUAGGAAAUCCGCAGUCAAGGGGUUAAGCGCACACGCCCCACAUCAAAGAGUAGAGACUUGCGUUACCUGCCAACACGUACCUUUAGUCAAGUACGCAUUGCAGUAACAAUCUCUCCCCUAACGUCUUCACUAUACAUAUCAACUUCAGAUAAUUAAAACUGUAAAUACAUAGAUGAAUUAACGCAGAAUUAGAUUUAAGCCAUGUUGCCCUGUCUCCUGGUAUUCUUUUAUCCUGCUUAGCUUUUUUCAUGUUUAAUUUAUAUGUUCCUCUAUUCAUUUUCAGAAGGAAGAGAGUGAGGAAGAUGAGAAUGACGAGGAUGAGACGGAGAAGGAUGCCUGACUUGGGAGAACACAGGCCUCGGGAAAUGACUUGCUUCUCGGGGUUUAGAAAUGACUUUGUAUCCUGAAAGAGAAAAGAAAAAGAAGAGUAUCAGUUAACGUCGCUGCACUCAUACAUAAGAAGCAGAGGAGGACCAGCAAAGUAACAGAAGAAGAACAAGAAGAAGGAGAAAGAAAAGAAGAAAAAGGAGAACAGGAAAAGGGAAAAUGAAGAACAUGAACAUCGCUGCACUCAAAGUUAUACAUAAGAAGCAGAGGAAGACCAGCAAAGUAACAGAAGAAGAAGAAAAAGGAGGAAAAGAAGAACAAGAAGAAGGAAAAAACAAAGAAGAACAAAAAAAGGGAAAAUGAAGAACUUGAACAAGAAGCAGAUUAUCCAUGACCCCCAAAAUAUGAGCUUGUGCCCCUGAAGGAAGGCGCCCCUGCUGCCUGCUCCAACUGAUGGCGGCCGGGGGGUUGCCAUCCGCCUGACACUCCAGCCUGACGGGGACGCCCUGGGUGACACGCUGCACGGCUGGGCUCAUGCGACGCACCUGUGGGCCGAGGAACACCCAGGGGAGGAGCUCCAUCCCCCGAAUACUCACCGUGGCCGGGUAUUGGACGUCAAGAGUGUGGGUGACCUCAAUGGCUGGUGAGGACUCAAUGCGACAGACGUACCGCCCAGCGUGACUCCGUUUGACGCCCUGAAGGAUGAAGGAGUCCCCGCUCUUGGUGUUCAGGGCAGUUAGGGCACAACGCUCACCUGGAUAAUGGCUGCAGAGGAUAAUGAGCCAAGUAAAGGGACAAGAGAAAGGAAGAGCAAGAACCCCUCUGAGGCAGUGAUUGGUUCUCGGCCCCGCUCUCUUGUGGCGCGGGCAGAAACUUUUUAUAGUGACGCCGAAGAAAAUCUCCCCCUUCCUGGCUCCCGGCGCUGCACCCUCGCGUCUUCUCCGGACAAGGUAAGGUUGCUCGUGUUCGUGUGUAUUGAAAGUAUGAAAAAAAUAGGUCUUGACUCAGAAAAUUCAUAUAUGCUUCCUUACUAAUAAGACUUUCUAUACAACAAAGUGAGGUCAUUCUUUGUUGAUUUAUACCAUAAGGUGCUGGCUAUCAUGUGUGUGAAGAUACCCUGAACUUAAUCUAACCUAACCUAACAAAACCCCGAACAGUUACUAUAGGCCUUGACUUAGAAAAUUCAUAUAUGCUACCUUACUAAUGAGACUUUCUAUACAACAAAGUGAGGUCAUUCUUUGUUGAUGUAUACCAUAAGGUGCUGGCUAUCAUGUGUUUGAGGAUACCCUGAACUUAACCUGACCUAACCUAACAAAACCCCGAACAGUUACUAUAGGCCUUGAC